GCACCAUGCUUCAAGCUGCUGUUUAAGAUAGCCCGUGAUACUUCUGCAAGACUGAAAUUCUCCCCAGCAGCAUCCUUCCCCAGUGCCAUGCACUGCUCCAUAGUUGGCUGAUGGUCUCUUCCCUGAUUCACAGUGGAGGAAAAAAAAGUCAAAGAAAUUGUAAAGAUGGACUUGUAUCAGAAGAUAUGCAUGUGAUAGAUAUAUGACCAAUGUGUAAGGAACAAAUCAAGCCAUAGACUGGUGGCUACAAAGGAAGAAGGGCAGGAUGGCCUCUCCUGAUAGCUCCAGUGGUGGAAAUCUGUCACUAAAUGCAUUCAAAGUGUGCUGGAAGGUGAGCAGGUGGGACAAAGCUGAUCUUAAUAUAAAACAGGCAAAGCAGCACUAUUGUACUGACUGUAUUGUUCAUUUUUUUACCCGGUUCAAUAAGAUCCUCAGGGAUGGCAUUGCUUCCACAUCAGAUCCAGUUAGUACCAAAUUGCUGGGAAUUUUACUGACUCUUAUUCAGCCCUGGCAGAAGCCACAUAAGCCAAAGAGGAGGUGCAAAGCUCUUCUAGUAGCUCCCCUUUGGCUCCUCCACUGGCUACGUGACUGUCUGGGCACUGUGAGACCCACACUCUUCUCACAAUCAAGGUUGCACCUUGAUACCAUUUUUGCCUAUCUGGACAACACAGAUUGUCUAAAUCCCGCAGCUGUGGAGUCUGCAGUGUCUCUGCAAAGAAGAAAGAAAUGUCUAUAA
rnacentral:lncRNA from 1 species